UGGGGAAUAUUGCACAAUGGGCGAAAGCCUGAUGCAGCAACGCCGCGUGAGUGAUGAAGGCCUUCGGGUUGUAAAGCUCUGUCUUUUGGGACGAUAAUGACGGUACCAAAGGAGGAAGCCACGGCUAACUACGUGCCAGCAGCCGCGGUAAUACGUAGGUGGCAAGCGUUGUCCGGAUUUACUGGGCGUAAAGGAUGCGUAGGCGGAUUUUUAAGUGAGAUGUGAAAACCCUAAGCUUAACUUGGGGACUGCAUUUCAUACUGGAAAUCUAGAGUGCGGGAGAGGAGAAUGGAAUUCCUAGUGUAGCGGUGAAAAUGCGUAGAGAUUAGGAAGAACACCAGUGGCGAAGGCGAUUCUCUGGACCGUAACUGACGCUGAGGCAUGAAAAGCGUGGGUAGCAAAACAGGAUUAGAUACCCUGGUAGUCCACGCCGUAAAACGAUGAGUACUAGGUGUAGGAGGUAUCGACCCCUUCUGUGCCGCAGUUAAACACAAUAAGUACUCCGCCUGGGAAGUACGAUCGC
rnacentral:rRNA from 1 species